GGAUUGCCCUAGUAACGGCGAGUGAAGCGGCAACAGCUCAAAUUUGAAAUCUGGCUCUUUUAGAGUCCGAGUUGUAAUUUGCAGAGGGCGCUUUGGCUUUGGCAGCGGUCCAAGUUCCUUGGAACAGGACGUCACAGAGGGUGAGAAUCCCGUACGUGGUCGCUAGCUAUUGCCGUGUAAAGCCCCUUCGACGAGUCGAGUUGUUUGGGAAUGCAGCUCUAAAUGGGAGGUAAAUUUCUUCUAAAGCUAAAUAUUGGCCAGAGACCGAUAGCGCACAAGUAGAGUGAUCGAAAGAUGAAAAGCACUUUGGAAAGAGAGUCAAACAGCACGUGAAAUUGUUGAAAGGGAAGCGCUUGCAGCCAGACUUGCUUGCAGUUGCUCAUCCGGGCUUUUGCCCGGUGCACUCUUCUGCAGGCAGGCCAGCAUCAGUUUGGGCGGUGGGAUAAAGGUCUCUGACACGUUCCUUCCUUCGGGUUGGCCAUAUAGGGGAGACGUCAUACCACCAGCCUGGACUGAGGUCCGCGCAUCUGCUAGGAUGCUGGCGUAAUGGCUGUAAGCGGCCCGUCUUGAAACACGGACCAAGGAGUCUAACAUCUAUGCGAGUGUUUGGGUGUCAAGCCCGAGCGCGUAAUGAAAGUGAACGGAGGUGGGAACCCGCAAGGGUGCACCAUCGACCGAUCCUGAAGUUUACGGAAGGAUUUGAGUAAGAGCAUGGCUGUUGGGACCCGAAAGAUGGUGAACUAUGCUUGAAUAGGGUGAAGCCAGAGGAAACUCUGGUGGAGGCUCGCAGCGGUUCUGACGUGCAAAUCGAUCGUCAAAUUUGGGCAUAGGGGCGAAAGACUAAUCGA
rnacentral:rRNA from 1 species